CUACGUAGGGCGCAGCGUUGUCCGGAAUUAUUGGGCGUAAAGAGCUCGUAGGCGGUCCGUCUCGACGUCGCUGAAGUGGAACCUGGACCUCACCUUGGCGUGCAUGAGGGAUCGGCAGACUGAGUGGUAGGGAGGGAGAGUGAAUUCCGUGUGAGCGGUGAAAUGCGCAGAUAUCGGGAGGAACACCGGUGGCGAAGGCGGUUCUCUGGGCCUUACCUGACGCUGAGGAGCGAAAGCGUGGGGAGCGAACAGG
rnacentral:rRNA from 1 species